rnacentral:rRNA from 1 species
UACGGGAGGCAGCAGUGGGGAAUAUUGCACAAUGGGCGCAAGCCUGAUGCAGCCAUGCCGCGUGUAUGAAGAAGGCCUUCGGGUUGUAAAGUACUUUCAGUCGUGAGGAAGGUGUUAAGGUUAAUAACCGCAACGAUUGACGUUACUCGCAGAGGAAGCACCGGCUAACUCCGUGCCAGCAGCCGCGGUAAUACGGAGGGUGCAAGCGUUAAUCGGAAUUACUGGGCGUAAAGCGCACGCAGGCGGUCUGUCAAGUCGGAUGUGAAAUCCCCGGGCUCAACCUGGGAACUGCAUCCGAAACUGGCAGGCUAGAGUCUUGUAGAGGGGGUAGAAUUCCAGGUGUAGCGGUGAAAUGCGUAGAGAUCUGGAGGAAUACCGGUGGCGAAGGCGGCCCCUGGACAAAGCUGACGCUCAGGUGCGAAAGCGUGGGGAGCAAACGAGGAUUAGAUAACCCGU